AUUGAACGCUGGCGGAAUGCUUUACACAUGCAAGUCGAGCGGCAGCGCGGGGCAACCUGGCGGCGAGCGGCGAACGGGUGAGUAAUACAUCGGAACGUGCCCAGACGUGGGGGAUAACUACUCGAAAGAGUGGCUAAUACCGCAUACGAUCUAAGGAUGAAAGCGGGGGAUCGCAAGACCUCGCGCGUUUGGAGCGGCCGAUGGCAGAUUAGGUAGUUGGUGGGGUAAAGGCUUACCAAGCCCGCGAUCUGUAGCUGGUCUGAGAGGAUGAUCAGCCACACUGGGACUGAGACACGGCCCAGACUCCUACGGGAGGCAGCAGUGGGGAAUUUUGGACAAUGGGCGAAAGCCUGAUCCAGCCAUUCCGCGUGCAGGAUGAAGGCCCUCGGGUUGUAAACUGCUUUUGUACAGAACGAAAAAGACUCUUUCUAAUACAGAGAGUCCAUGACGGUACUGUAAGAAUAAGCACCGGCUAACUACGUGCCAGCAGCCGCGGUAAUC
rnacentral:rRNA from 1 species